rnacentral:rRNA from 1 species
UACGUAGGGUGCGAGCGUUGUCCGGAAUUAUUGGGCGUAAAGGGCUCGUAGGCGGUUUGUCGCGUCGGGAGUGAAAUCCACUGGCUUAACUGGUGGCUUGCUUUCGAUACGGGCAGACUGGAGGUAUGCAGGGGAGAACGGAAUUCCUGGUGUAGCGGUAAAAUGCGCAGAUAUCAGGAGGAACACCGGUGGCGAAGGCGGGUCUCUGGGCCGAUACUGACGCUGAGGAGCGAAAGCGUGGGGAGCGAACAGG